rnacentral:rRNA from 1 species
UACAGAGGGCCCGAGCGUUACGCGGAUUCACUGGGCUUAAAGGGUGCGUAGGCGGCGGCGUAAGUGCUUUGUGAAAUCCCACGGCUUAACCGUGGAAUUGCAAGGCAUACUGCGUCGCUUGAGGCCAGUAGAGGGUGCCGGAACUGUAGGUGUAGCGGUGAAAUGCGUAGAUAUCUACAGGAACGCCGAUGGUGAAGACAGGCACCUGGGCUGGUUCUGACGCUGAGGCACGAAAGCGUGGGGAGCAAACAGG